rnacentral:lncRNA from 1 species
UAUUGAGUUUCGGGGGUGGGGAGAUAAAGUUGUUAGAGAUUUUGUCUUUGAGGAAGAACAUGAGGAAGAACAUGAGGAAGAACAUGUGUCUUUCCCUCAAGUUGUUGAUCUUGGUCUUCAUGACAAGGAUCACACAACUCCGGUUCAAGACAAUCUCGAAAAUCUCCCCCAUCAGGGCCCUAAUAUAACUAAUGAAAAUCAAACUCAACAACCUCAAGAAACUGAAAUGCCAUUAAGGAG